rnacentral:rRNA from 1 species
AUUGAACGCUGGCGGCAUGCCUUACACAUGCAAGUCGAACGGUAACAGGUCUUCGGAUGCUGACGAGUGGCGAACGGGUGAGUAAUACAUCGGAACGUGCCCGAUCGUGGGGGAUAACGAGGCGAAAGCUUUGCUAAUACCGCAUACGAUCUACGGAUGAAAGCGGGGGAUCUUCGGACCUCGCGCGGACGGAGCGGCCGAUGGCAGAUUAGGUAGUUGGUGGGAUAAAAGCUUACCAAGCCGACGAUCUGUAGCUGGUCUGAGAGGAUGAUCAGCCACACUGGGACUGAGACACGGCCCAGACUCCUACGGGAGGCAGCAGUGGGGAAUUUAGGACAAUGGGCGAAAGCCUGAUCCAGCCAUGCCGCGUGCAGGAUGAAGGCCUUCGGGUUGUAAACUGCUUUUGUACGGAACGAAAAGCCUCUUUCUAAUAAAGAGGGGUCAUGACGGUACCGUAAGAAUAAGCACCGGCUAACUACGUG